GGUAGUCAUUUUGUAACCCUCAUCAUGGCAAAGACACGGAGAAAUGCAUAUGAUGCAGCUGUCAAGUUGAAGGCGAUCGAUCUGGAAGUUGGAAAAGGAAAUAGAGCUGCUGCACGGGAGCUUGGCCUUAAUGAUUCGAUGAUAAGACGUUGGAAACAGCAGCGUGAGGAACUGACUCAGUGCAAAAAGACAACAAAAGCUUUCAGAGGGAAGAAAAGCAGAUGGCCCAAAGUAUUUGCAGCCACUCGACAUCAGUGUAAAUCGUGCAUUUAAGGUGGCGCUCCGUGUUCAGUGGGAGGCUUGGAUGACAAGUGGGGAGAAAUGCUUCACUAAAACGGGCCGCAUGCGAAGAGCAACUUAUGGUCAAGUCUGCCAGUGGGUGCUGACAGCGUGGAGCAUUGUCAAAAAACCCACUAUCAUCAACGGGUUUCGAAAGGCUGGACUGCUGCGUGUUGAAGGGGCAGCAUGAGCUCAGCGGGGUAUUUGCCUCCGGAAAGUGAGGAGAGCGACAAUGAAAACAAUCCAACAUCGGAUGAAGCAAUUCAACUCCGACACCGAAGGAGAUGACUUCAGUGGUUUCAGUGCACAGGAGGAGGAAGAUAGUGACCAAUGACUUUCUUGGUAGGCUACUGUUUAAUUUUUGUUACAAGCCGUGUUUCGUUAAAGCCUAUUUAUUUUUGUUACAAGCCGUGUUUCGUUAAAGACUAUUUAUUUUUGUUACAAGCCGUGUUUCGUUUAAAGGCUGUGUAAAGUUAAUUUGUUUCAAUUUCCCGGCAGGCACCUGCGGCUUAUAGACAUGUGCAGCUUAUUUAUUUUUAAUAAUUCAGUGGGUGCGGUUUAUAUUCAGGUGUGCUUAAUAGUCCAGAAAUUACGG
ensembl:lncRNA